GAGUCUGCGUUCCAUUAGCUAGUUGGUAGGGUAAUGGCCUACCAAGGCAACGAUGAGUAGCUGGUCUGAGAGGAUGAUCAGCCACACUGGAACUGAAACACGGUCCAGACUCCUACGGGAGGCAGCAGUGGGGAAUAUUGCGCAAUGGGCGAAAGCCUGACGCAGCAACGCCGUGUGAGGGAUGAAGGCUUUCGGGUCGUAAACCUCUGUCAGAAGGGAAGAACGGGCAUUGGUCUAAUAGGCCUUUGUUUUGACGGUACCUUCAGAGGAAGCACCGGCUAACUCCGUGCCAGCAGCCGCGGUAAUACGGAGGGUGCAAGCGUUAUUCGGAAUUACUGGGCGUAAAGCGCACGUAGGCGGCCUUGUAAGUCAGGGGUGAAAUCCCACGGCUCAACCGUGGAACUGCCUUUGAUACUGCUUAGCUUGAAUCCGGGAGAGGGUGGCGGAAUUCCAGGUGUAGGAGUGAAAUCCGUAGAUAUCUGGAGGAACAUCAGUGGCGA
rnacentral:rRNA from 1 species